rnacentral:rRNA from 1 species
AGUAACGCGUAAAGAACUUGCCUCACAGUUAGGGACAACAUUUGGAAACGAAUGCUAAUACCUAAUAUUAUGAUAGUAGGGCAUCCUAUAAUUAUGAAAGCUAUAAGCGCUGUGAGAGAGCUUUGCGUCCCAUUAGCUAGUUGGAGAGGUAACGGCUCACCAAGGCGAUGAUGGGUAGCCGGCCUGAGAGGGUGAUCGGCCACAAGGGGACUGAGACACGGCCCUU